ACCUACGGGAGGCAGCAGUGGGGAAUAUUGCACAAUGGGGGAAACCCUGAUGCAGCGACGCCGCGUGAAGGACGAAGUAUUUCGGUACGUAAACUUCUAUCAGCAGGGAAGAAAAUGACGGUACCUGACCAAGGAGCCCCGGCUAACUACGUGCCAGCAGCCGCGGUAAUACGUAGGGGGCAAGCGUUAUCCGGAAUCACUGGGUGUAAAGGGAGCGUAGACGGCUGUGCAAGCCUGAAGUGAAAGGCGGGGGCCCAACCCCUGGACUGCUUUGGGAACUGUACGGCUGGAGUGCAGGAGGGGUA
rnacentral:rRNA from 1 species